rnacentral:siRNA from 1 species
GGCCUGCUGGUGAAGAUUGUAU